CCUAGCCUUGACCCUGAUCUUCAGGAAGAGAACUCUACCCUUGUCUUACCAUUCAGUGUUCAGCACUGACAAUAGAACAUUCAAUAUGAGGGUGGGGUUGAAGUGGGUUUUUGUUUUCGUUUUUUUUCAAGGUGUGCAUUGUGAGGUGAAGCUUGUUGAGUCUGGUGGAGGAUUGGUGCAGCCUAAAGGGUCAUUGAAACUCUCGUGUGCAGCCUCAGGAUUCACGUUCAGUAACUAUGCCAUGUACUGGGUCCGCCAGGCUACAGGAAAGGGUCUGGAAUGGGUUGCUCGCAUAAGAACUAAAAGUAAUAAUUAUGCAACUUAUUAUGCUGAUUCGGUGAAAGACAGAUUCACCAUCUCCAGAGAUGAUUCGCAAAGCAUGGUGUAUCUGCAAAUGAACAACCUGAAAACUGAGGACACGGCCAUGUAUUACUGUACAAAACCACAGAGAGAAGUCUUCAGUGCAUUGCUGCUGGAGCAGAUUAAUGAUACAAUCAUCAUCAAUCUAGGAAAGAACCUAACAUUGUAG